AGUGAAUCAUAUUCUUACACCACCGGACGCCAUUCUCCUUUACUUGAGGGUGGUUGGGUUUGGCGACCUAGUAUGGCUCAAGGAAUUUAUGUUUGACAACUCCCUAAUUACUGUAUUUGUAGAGCGUUGGUGUCCGGAGACCCACACAUUCCACCAGUCUUGGGGUGAGUGCACCAUCAUCCUGCAGGAUAUUGCGUACCACCUUGAGUUAUGCACUCACAGAGAGCCAAUGGGUGGAUGCUUGCGUGAUUUUCAAACAUGCUACUAACACCCGACCUGGGAGUGAGUACAGGAGCUCCUUGGUGCCAGGCCUCCUCAUGCUCAACAGCAGGGACGCAGAAGAAAAAGUCAUUUUCCAUCAACCUGACGUGACUUAUGGAUCAAGUAUAGCAUAUGCCAGCCACUACAGAUUUAGUCACUCUCUGACAGUACACAAGGUGUUACAUCCUACUGCUAAUCAGGGGUUACCUGAUGACAGACAAAUCAAACAAUUAGAUCCAUAGCAUGUGUCUGCCCUUAUUAAAGGACUUUGAGAGGUGUCAUUGUCUGUCUUGGAGAUUUGCUAUGUUUGCAUAGACGUACCACUCCUUAUGCUCUGCAGCACAUCGAUAUACCACCAACAUCGCUGGAGGCACUCUGCUACUUGUCUCAUGGAUUUACCAUAGAUUUUCUCAGUAGUUUCUACCAGAGAGACAAAUUCUGAUGUUUGCUCUGGCCGUGAGGUUGAUAGGUAUGGUCCCUAGUUUGACCAGCGAGUCUUUCGUUGGCGUUUUUUGUUGGAUCGGUUAUAAUUGCAUGAGGUACGUAAAAGUGUUUUAGUCAGUUAUCUCUAAACGAUUAGUUCUCCUAUGUAAUAAACUGAAUCUGAGGAUUAUAUUACACUUUGUUUUGUGAUUCCUAUGGACGCCGUA